rnacentral:guide_RNA from 1 species
AAAUAGUAACACAAUAGACGAGAUACGUGUAGAAU